rnacentral:rRNA from 1 species
AGUGGAGCGACGAACCGGGGCUUGCCCCGGGGCAGAGCCGCGAACGGGUGAGUAACACGUGGGUUACCUGCCCUGAUGACCGGGACAACCCGUCGAAAGACGGGCUAAUACCGGAUGUGCCCGCAAGGGGAAAGGAGGCGUAAGCUUCCGCAUCGGGAUGGGCCCGCGGAGCAUUAGCUUGUUGGUGAGGUAAAAGCUCACCAAGGCUUCGAUGCUUAGCUGGUCUGAGAGGACGAUCAGCCACACUGGGACUGAGACACGGCCCAGACUCCUACGGGAGGCAGCAGUGGGGAAUCUUGCGCAAUGCACGAAAGUGUGACGCAGCAACGCCGCGUGCGGGAAGACGGCCUUCGGGUUGUAAACCGCUUUCAGUUGGGACGAAGGUUCUACGGUUAAUACCCGUACGGAUUGACGGUAC